UCCAGGACGUUAGGAACAGAGAUAAUCUCGGAGAAAGCGAAGAGGGAGGGGUGGGAAGUUGCCUCAACGACGAGGUUUCUGAGGGAGGAGCCCUUGAGAUUGGACGCCUGCUUCACAAAGUAAUCUAUGUGCUCCGCUUGCUUUUGCUCGAUAUCCAUCUCUCAGAUUUCGAUUUCUAAUAAUCUGCCCCCAAAAAACUUACAGAAUUUUUAUGCAUAAAAGUGCGCGUAUAUGUACAAUAUACCUGUAUAAAUCUUGAAGGGAUUGGAAUCGGUGAAAAUAUAAUCUCCGAUUUUGAAAGAUAAGAUUUAGGGUUUAGAAAUACUGAAGUCGAUUUCGAGUCUCUUUUCUUGGUAGAGACACGGGACUUCUGGCUUCAGUGUGUGUGUGUGUGUGUGUUUCAAUACCGGUAAUUUUUGCUAUUUUGAGACGAAGGUUUCUUGAACCCGAAGCUAGAAUUUUCUGGUCUGUUUAAAAUUUAUUUUACGGAUAAUUACAGUUACGGUUCCAAACCUACUUUACCCUAUCAAUUUUGUAAAGUUUAAUUUACAAUUCGAAACAUAAAAUAGAUAGACUGAGUAGCAAAUAAUAAAUUAACAAGCAAUACAAACAGAUAACAAUAUCACUCGCACUAGCCCACAACUAGAACUAAAAGUCAAAAACAAAUGAAAUAAGAGGCUAUUUGAGAAUUUUGCUAGCAUCAACUUUAAAGAAAGAUAACAGCUGGAAACAGAAUAAAGCAAAGGGGCAAGGCAAGAAAAGCCAUCCAAAAAGCUAAGCUAGAUAAAAAACAACCUUGCUCUGUCUCAAUUGAGCAAGGAGUCACCUCAAGGCACUUUGAAGCAUAAACCAUGACUUAAACCAAUAAAAUAAUUUAAAAAAUUAUAUAACAGAAUUUUGGUCAUGGUAAACCAUAAAGAAAAUCCAUAAUAAAACCUCUCAAUUUUGUAAAGUUUAAUUUACAAUUCGAAACAUAAAAUAGAUAGACUGAGUAGCAAAUAAUAAAUUAACAAAGCAAUACAAACGGAUAACAAUAUCACUCACACUAGCCCACAACUAGAACUAAAAGUCGAAAACAAAUGAAAUAAGAGGCUAUUUGAGAAUUUUGCUAGCUUCAACUUUAAAGAAAGAUAACAGCUGGAAACAGAAUAAAGCAAAGGGGCAAGGCAAGAAAAGCCAUCCAAAAAGCUAAGCUAGAUAAAAAACAACCUAAAAACACAAGACCAGGAAGUGCAACCCUCAGGUGCCUUAAGGCUUAUGGCUUGUGAUGUGGGCCUCGACAAGUUAUGGUAUAAGCCUUGACAAAGGAAACUCGAGUAAUCUUUCAGGUUCCUAAUGACUUUCUCACACAAAGCACGCCACAAGGCGUAAAAUUGCUUUCAAAGAAUAUUAUUUAAGAAUCAGAACAAGACCCAUCCUAUCAAGAAAAAGGCAGAUCUUUCUCGACAAGCUCCAUUUUAAUGGUUAUGUAUAAUAUGGGACAAGGUCAAUAACCAUUAAGGCAUUAACAAAUGGACUAAUAGGCAACAAUUCAUCCAAUACCAAGCAUAUUACUCCAAGGCAAGACACUAUUUGUUAAUCGUAUAAAAAGGGUAGCAAGAAUGGUAUACCCAGUUCAUCUUCCCCCUUCUAACCACACUGAUAUAGUUAAAAAUCUGAAGUCGUGUCCAAAUAUUAAUAAACAAGCUGUUAUAUACAUAUGUCAAGUAAAAGUAAACAAAAACUAUCAGAAAACUAAAUGAUGGAGAACUUGCUUGCUAAAAUCAUUCCACGUAAAACACCCACAAAAAGCUAUAUAUUCAACUAAAUCAACGGAAGAUGCUUAAACUGAUCUUUUCCACCAAAAAAUUUAAAAAAAAAAAAAUCAAAACUACCCAUUUUUUUCAAUAUGCAUAUAAAUAAAAUACUAUUGAUAAUACAUACCUCCAGGACGUUAGGAACAGAGAUAAUCUCGGAGAAAGCGAAGAGGGAGGGGUGGGAAGUUGCCUCAACGACGAGGUUUCUGAGGGAGGAGCCCUUGAGAUUGGACGCCUGCUUCACAAAGUAAUCUAUGUGCUCCGCUUGCUUUUGCUCGAUAUCCAUCUCUCAGAUUUCGAUUUCUAAUAAUCUGCCCCCAAAAAACUUACAGAAUUUUUAUGCAUAAAAG
rnacentral:lncRNA from 1 species